AGCGAACGCUGGCGGCAGGCUUAACACAUGCAAGUCGAGCGGGCAUCCUGGUGGUGUCAGCUGCUGACGGGUGAGUAACGCGUGGGAACGUGCCCUUCGGUUCGGAAUAACUCAUGGAAACUGGAGCUAAUACCGGAUACGCGCUAGUGCAGAAAACGUUAUCUGCCGAAGGGUCGGCCCGCGUCUGAUUAGCUAGGUGGGGAUGUUACGGCGCAUCAAUGCUACGAUAAGUAGCUGGUAUGAGAGCAUGAUGAGACACACUGGGACUGAGAAACGGCCGAGAAUCCUACGGGAGGGACGCGAGCGGAAUCUUGCCAUAUGGGGGCAAUCAUGAUCCAGCCAUGCCGCGUAAGUGAUGACGGCAUUAGAGAAGUAAAGCUCUUUUCUACGGGACGGUAAUGACGGUACCGGAGGAAUAAGCCCCGGCUAACUUCGUG
rnacentral:rRNA from 1 species